rnacentral:lncRNA from 1 species
CGCCACAGCCACAGCCACAGCAACGCCAGAUCCUUAACCCACUGAAUGAGGCCAGGGAUUGAAAUCACAUCCUUGGGGACACAUGUUGGGUUCUUAACCCACUGAGCCACAACUGGAACACCCUUCCCUUUCUUGUCUAAGUCACUGAAUUAAAAAUCAAGAAGAAAAAAGUACUGCCAUGAUAACACCUGCCACAGACAGUGUCCAAGACAUUAAAGAUACCAUAUAAUGAAAUCAAAACUCAUUUGCUCAAUAAAUAUUUCUAAACGACCUACUAUGUGCCAGAUACCAAAGAUGACAUACCUGAAAGGAUCCUCAGUGAUUAGCAAACCAUUCAUUCCACCACCAGGAGGAAAGGGCAGAGAUUACGGUUAUUCUGUCUCAGAGGUGAAACUGGGACCCUACCAUUUGAUUUCCAAGUCACUGCAUUGAUGGAUGGAUACGCAUCAAGCAUCUCCAUCCUGUACCACCCCUCAUGAGCUGUUCCAGCAUCUUUUUCCUUCCUAAGCUUACUGACCUUUGGCGAUUUUAAUGUCCAGAGCCGUCCGGAUUAGAGCCAUAAGCGUGGAAGUGAAGUGGACGGUCAUGUCCUCAGCCACGGGCAUAUUCAUCAGGACCAACCUCUGCGUGAGAGAAAAGAAACAGCGGGAGAAAAAAAAAAAUAUAUCGAAAGAAACCUUGAGAAUGAUGCCGAAUUCCAAGCAAAGAGGGACUCAUCACUCUGUAGGACCCCUCCACAGUCCUAGGAAUGUCUUUAACGGGGAUUCUUCAAAACCGAGGCUCAGGGGAAGGAGUCAGCUCUGCGAGGUGGCUCCUUUCCCUGUUUCAGGGCUAGAUUUCCACUGGCCCCAUGAAUACCCCCCAAAACGCAGAUGGAAAGAUAGUGCUUUGCGUCUCCUACUUGAAAGGUGCAUCCUGAUGCCCCCUNGAUUUUGUGUAUUGUUAGAUUCAGUUUGCUGGUAUUUUGUUGAGGAUUUUUGCAUCAACAUGUGAAAGAUAUUGACCUAUAGUUCAUAAUUCAUUCCCCCUCUCUCUGUCCUUCUUUCUCACAGUAUCUUGGUCGGGGGUUUUGGUA